rnacentral:rRNA from 1 species
UACGAAGGGGGCUAGCGUUGUUCGGAAUUACUGGGCGUAAAGCGCACGUAGGCGGCGCAGCAAGUUGGGGGUGAAAUCCCGAGGCUCAACCUCGGAAUUGCCUUCAAAACUGCUGUGCUCGAGUUCGGAAGAGGUGAGUGGAAUUCCCAGUGUAGAGGUGAAAUUCGUAGAGAUUGGGAAGAACACCGGUGGCGAAGGCGGCUCACUGGUCCGCAACUGACGCUGAGGUGCGAAAGCGUGGGGAGCAAACAGG